UCUCCGUUGGUGAACCAGCGGAGGGAUCAUUACAGGACUCGCAAGACUCCUACAACCCUGUGAACUUAACUAUAAGCACGUUGCUUCGGCGGGUGUCUCGGAGGGGGUUCUCCCUCCCCGAGACGCUAAACCCGCCGGCAGCCUACUAUACUCUGUCUCUUUGCGUUGGCAUCUCGAGUACAAUCAAACAAGUUAAAACUUUCAACAACGGAUCUCUUGGAUCUG
rnacentral:misc_RNA from 1 species